rnacentral:rRNA from 1 species
AGCGGCAAAAGCUCAAAUUUGAAAUCUGGUACCUUCGGUGCCCGAGUUGUAAUUUGGAGAGGGCAACUUUGGGGCCGUUCCUUGUCUAUGUUCCUUGGAACAGGACGUCAUAGAGGGUGAGAAUCCCGUGUGGCGAGGAGUGCGGUUCUUUGUAAAGUGCCUUCGAAGAGUCGAGUUGUUUGGGAAUGCAGCUCUAAGUGGGUGGUAAAUUCCAUCUAAAGCUAAAUAUUGGCGAGAGACCGAUAGCGAACAAGUACAGUGAUGGAAAGAUGAAAAGAACUUUGAAAAGAGAGUGAAAAAGUACGUGAAAUUGUUGAAAGGGAAGGGCAUUUGAUCAGACAUGGUGUUUUGUGCCCUCUGCUCCUUGUGGGUAGGGGAAUCUCGCAUUUCACUGGGCCAGCAUCAGUUUUGGUGGCAGGAUAAAUCCAUAGGAAUGUAGCUUGCCUCGGUAAGUAUUAUAGCCUGUGGGAAUACUGCCAGCUGGGACUGAGGACUGCGACGUAAGUCAAGGAUGCU